CAAGGUUCUGUCGCAGUUUAUGAUAGUUUACUUCCAGCCUGUGUUGCUCUGAUAAUGCUGUCACGAUACAUGAGGAUAGAACAAAAUGGAUUUGUUGAAAGGGUUUCAGAAACUUUCAAGCAAAUGCAAUUGGCAGGUGUAAAGUCACGGUCUGCAACCUUUGCCAGUAUCCUCCAUGCCUGUGCCAACACAAAAGAUUUCAAUCAGGGCAAAGCGCGUGAACUGUUUGACACAAUGCCUCAGAGAUGUCAUUCCAUGGAAUUAAAUGAUUGCAGGAUAUGCACAAAAUGGGUUUUGCAAGCAUGCUCUCAAAUUCUUUGAUUUAAUGAAAGCACUCCGGAACACAUUCCAACAUUGUUAAAGCAAAGAGGAAUUUUGUCAGAUGUUGUAGGUGCAACUAGCCUGCUAGUCAUGUAAACAAAACGUGGAAAAGAGAAAAGGAACAUGAACUGUUUGACAGAAUGCCUUCAAGAAUUGCUUGAUAAAAUGCCAUUAUCACAGGAUGUACAAAAUGGAUUUGUUGAGAGGGUUUCAGAAACUUGCAAUCAAAUGUCAAAGCGUUUUCUAUGUCAUUAGCUGUAUUUAUUAUAGGAGUUGAGCGACAAUUUGUAUCUGGUUUUGAUGGUGUGUAAUGGUCUUUAUGAUUCGUAUUUGGUUUGGUUUGGUUUGGUUUGUUUAAAUUGUAGGGACUUGAAUCUGAUUUUUAUGAUUGGUAUGU